GCGCAGUAGGGUGGCCGCUCCCGGCCGCGUGCAGCGCGAACGUCGGCGCAGGCGCCAAGGCUCUGGCAGUUGGCCAGCACACCACUACGCAUGUGUGUCAACUCUAGGGUUGGGUGCUGGGGUUGCGGCUUUCGGUUAACACCGCAGAUUGGAACAGCCUGAGGUCUGCUGGAGACAACUUAGGAAAUUAUCAUAGUGAAAAUACUAGCAUGGAUUGUUGAUCAUCUGAUGCUAUGAUUCUUUCCCAGGCACCACACCUGUUGGUGUUCAGAUGGAGCGGCACACUAGUCAUCCUAACAGAAAAGUUCCAGCCAAAGAGGAAGCUAAUGCUGUGCCUCUCUGUAGAGCAAAACCCUCCCCCAGCUAUAUUAAUCUUCAAGCAAGUUCCCCACCAGCCACUUUUCUGAACAUCCAGACAACAAAGCUGCCCUCAGCCCAAGGAAUGCCUAGGACUCCUGGAAUGUAUAUAUGCAAACCUCCAGCUUCAGACCCAGCUCACCCAACAACAGAUGGCUGUUUUGGAACAUUUACAGGCAUCUGUGACACAACUGGCUCCUGGGAGGGGAAGCAAUAACUCUUCUCUCCCAGCCUUAUCUCCUAAUCCAUUGUUAAAUCACCUGCCCCAAUUCAGCUGUGUGUGCCACAUCUGCUUCUGAUGAGAGCCUCAGGGAGCUUUGCAUCACCAUGGAAAGCAAAGAUGAGCAGCGUGUCACAUGGCAA